rnacentral:rRNA from 1 species
CACGGGGGCAACCCUGGUGGCGAGUGGCGAACGGGUGAGUAAUGCAUCGGAACGUGCCCAGUAGUGGGGGAUAACCCGGCGAAAGCCGGGCUAAUACCGCAUACGACCUACGGGUGAAAGCGGGGGACCGCAAGGCCUCGCGCUAUUGGAGCGGCCGAUGUCUGAUUAGCUAGUUGGCGGGGUAAAAGCCCACCAAGGCGACGAUCAGUAGCUGGUCUGAGAGGACGACCAGCCACACUGGGACUGAGACACGGCCCAGACUCCUACGGGAGGCAGCAGUGGGGAAUUUUGGACAAUGGGCGCAAGCCUGAUCCAGCCAUGCCGCGUGCGGGAAGAAGGCCUUCGGG